UGCCAGACUCCUACGGGAGGCAGCAGUGGGGAAUAUUGCACAAUGGGGGAAACCCUGAUGCAGCGACGCCGCGUGAGCGAUGAAGUAUUUCGGUAUGUAAAGCUCUCUCAGCAGGGAAGAAGAUGACGGUACCUGACUAAGAAGCCCCGGCUAACUACGUGCCAGCAGCCGCGGUAAUACGUAGGGGGCAAGCGUUAUCCGGAUUUACUGGGUGUAAAGGGAGCGUAGACGGCGAUGCAAGCCAGAUGUGAAAGCCCGGGGCUCAACCCCGGGACUGCAUUUGGAACUGUGUGGCUGGAGUGUCGGAGAGGCAGGCGGAAUUCCUAGUGUAGCGGUGAAAUGCGUAGAUAUUAGGAGGAACACCAGUGGCGAAGGCGGCCUGCUGGACGAUGACUGACGUUGAGGCUCGAAAGCGUGGGGAGCAAACAGGAUUAGAUACCCGUGUAAC
rnacentral:rRNA from 1 species